rnacentral:rRNA from 1 species
UACAGAGGGUGCGAGCGUUAAUCGGAAUUACUGGGCGUAAAGCGCACGUAGGUGGCGACGUAAGUCGGGUGUGAAAGCCCCGGGCUCAACCUGGGAAUUGCAUUCGAGACUGCAUUGCUGGAGUACGGAAGAGGAGGGCGGAAUUCCCGGUGUAGUGGUGAAAUGCGUAGAUAUCGGGAGGAACACCAGUGGCGAAGGCGGCUACCUGGACCAGCACUGACACUGAAGCACGAAAGCGUGGGGAGCAAACAGGG